rnacentral:misc_RNA from 1 species
GAGCUGCCCAGGCGGCGGGGGAGCAGCGAGCGGGCUUCAGCGAGCCGCAGGAGGCACAGGCCUGUCCUGGGUCCCCGCAGGUCUGCGCGUCUGUUGUUCCCAGCGCUCUGAGAGGCCUGAAAAGGAAGAGCAACCUGUCCAGAAUCCCCGCAGAUGCCAUGAUAACUGUGGCAGCUGAACAGUUCCACCGCUAAAGAAGACUCUUGGGACCCCAAAUGGUCAUGAUUGCAAAUCUACAGUUUGUUGGAGAAAAAAAUGGAUGCAACAUAGCAACAGCAUUAAGGAGAAACAUCAUAGUCAAAAGCUGUCUAAUAGUAAGGGAUCUGGAGUGGCCAGUUCCCCAGGUGAUGACUAUGCAGCUUUUUCAUGGACCACAACAUGUUCAUUACAAAGGAUUUAAAACUCAAAUGUAUUGAUGGGUCUGCCGAACUGCUAAAGUGUUACCUGACAAGUUUCCUGAGAGUGAACUCAACAGAGAAAAGAGCAUCUGCAGACAAGAUAUUAACCCAUGAGAACAGCACAACCACUAUCAUGCAGGUAUUUUUUCCUGGCCUAGCCUGCAAUAUCUCAGUUUUGUGAGGACAAUAUUUAUGUAUGCAAAACAAAGAAAUAAGGAAUACACAUAAAUGAUUAUUUUGGCAAAAAGAAUUUGGAAGAUAUUAAUGAGAGGCCCAAGCAGCACCAAGGUGAUAUCCAUGUGUACCUGGUUACUGUAACUAUAAAGUGGAGAGAGGGCUUUAUCCACUUCUACGGGGGUCAUGGGUUGGUGGACAUUGCUCACCAGUGACUCCAGAGAAAAUGACAGGGCUUUGACACCAUAAAUCCUCUAUCAGUAAAGGGUGCAGGACCCGGGAAAAAGGGCAUAGUGCCCAGCAGACAUGGAAGUAUCCAGGAGAGAGUGGCAUCUACUUCUUAGCUGCCUGGAAAUAUUCCUAGACAUGGUGAGAACUCCCUCAGUCCUCCUCCAAUGUGUCUGAUUCCAUCGACUUUCCUGCCACUGUAUGGGAAUAGUUUAGGAGCCAUUCCUCCCCUGAGUGCCUAGUGGGGACCAGGUCACAACACAGCUCACAUACUUAGUAUCUCAUCUGAUCCACCAGGCAGUCCUGUGAGGCAAGUAUUACCCUUAUUUUACAAAUGACAAGAUUGACUCUUACAGCAAUAGAUCUGUUAGAAUUUCCAGGUUGAUUCCUUUAGCUUUUAGUCCCAGAGAUAAUAUGAAUUUUACCUGUCAUCUUAUGUUCUGAUAACAGGAAUUCUGAGUGUCUUUAUUGCCUUUGUAAGCGCACCAAACAGUUCAAUUUCUUAGUAUGUAUUGUAUUCAGCUUUUAUUUAUUUUUCAGUAUGACAAAUAUUUAGUAUUAUAUUUUAGUAUGGGUCUGAGUAUGCAGACCCAGCACUCAUGUUAGAAGACCCAGGAACAUGAUAGAGGACCUAGCAACAGUGCCCACUGACCUGGCUCGACCUAGGGAAGACAUAGGGAUGUGCACAGCAGCAGAGGAAUAUCAUGGAGGUACAUACAAGAGGUGGUAGGACUCAUUUUUGAAUACAGGUGAGACCUAUUCUUGGCUACCCUUCAGGAAUAACCAUUGCCUGCUUUUUAGUGUACAUGCUUUCAGGGUUUUCUUUGCGCAGAAAUGCAU